CAAUCUAACAGCCUGGUUAUAGAUUAGAACUCUUUGUCCGUCCAGCACAUUCUUUUUCGACAAAGACAAAGUAACUAAAAUUCAUUUAAUUUCAGAAAUAGGACAGCCUUUGGAUAUAACUAUAUAUAUAAUUAUUUAUUUAUCAUCACAAUAGAGUGACAGACACAAAUUCAAUACCAGACAAGCAACAACCCAUCAAAUUGGACUCUCUCAGCAACGACAACGACAACGACAAAAACUCUCUCCAUUUUCCUUCUGUUCUCGUUCUCGCAUUCAAGAAUCACGCCCCUCUUCAACGGAACAAAAACGCAGGUUGAUCUUGAUUGAUUGGUUAGUUUCUAGAGAUAUUGAGAAAGUGAAAAAAGACAUUGUUUGUCAUCUGAAAUCCAUCGUCAUCGAGAGCUUACAUUGUUUCCAUAUUGCGUGGAUUUGCUAUUCGUAACUAGAAAAUGAAAUCUGGUUGUCCCAAUUAGGAAACGGUAUUGGUUUUCUGUCCUUUGGAUAAUGCGAGUUUGUUGCUGGGGAAUUGUAAAGGAGGUCGUGUUCUAUGCUCGUAGGAGUUGUGCGGAUUAAUGGUAACAUAUAUAGAAGCUUUUAUGCUAUGAUAGGUUUGUUUUCUGCACUUCUUGGAGAUUUAGGUUUAAGUCGGAUAAUUGGAGAUUUAGGUUUAAGUCGGAUAAUUAGUGGAUUUUGAAGUUCGUUUGCUUAAUAAUUUGGACAUGAGAAGCCCUUGGUUCAAUAAACCACUUGCUAUUUUUGGCCCCAGACCGCCAGUUAGUUGGUUGCUGUUGUGCGUUGUUUGUGUGCUUGGACUGAUAGCUAUCUUGGGUUCUACUUCUCUGAGUGCGUUUGAUUCCGUGACUCCCACUCCCGUGCUUGAUAUUUAUUCAAAUUAUAGAAGGUUAAAGGAGCAAGCGGCAGUUGACUAUUUAGAGCUUAGAACACUCUCAUCAGGAGCUGGUCGGCAAAGAGAGGUGGGACUUUGUGGCAGAGAACAAGAAAAUUAUGUUCCUUGUUACAAUGUCUCAGCAAAUUUGUUGACUGGGCUUCAAGAUGGGGAGGAGUUUGAUCGGCAUUGUGAAAUGUCAAGACCGAGGGAACAAUGUUUGGUUCGCCCUCCAAAGGACUAUAAGAUUCCCUUAAGGUGGCCUGCUGGUAAGGAUGUGAUCUGGAGCGGAAAUGUUAAGAUAACCAAAGAUCAGUUUCUUUCUUCCGGAAGCAUGACCAAAAGGUUGAUGUUACUGGAAGAGAAUCAAUUUGCCUUCCACUCUGAGGAUGGAUUGAUCUUUGAUGGUGUGAAAGAUUAUUCUCACCAGGUUGCAGAGAUGAUAGGAUUAGGAGGUGACUCUGAAUUUGUUCAAGCUGGUGUGCAAACUGUGCUAGACAUUGGUUGUGGAUUUGGUAGCUUUGGAGCUCACUUAGUAUCACUGAAACUAAUGUCUGUUUGUAUUGCGGCAUAUGAGGCAACCGGAAGCCAAGUUCAAAUGGCCCUCGAAAGAGGUCUUCCAGCAAUGAUUGGCAAUUUUAUUUCACGACAACUUCCAUAUCCAUCAUUGUCAUUUGAUAUGAUUCAUUGUGCUCAAUGCGGUAUUGUUUGGGAUAAAAAAGAUGGUAUGCUCCUUAUAGAAGUGGAUCGAGUUCUCAAGCCUGGAGGUUACUUUGUUUUAACUUCACCAGCAAGCAAUCCACACGGAAGUUCAUUGAGUACGAAGAAGAGAAGCACACUGACACCAAUAGACGAAUUUACUGAAGAAAUCUGUUGGAAUCUUAUAGCUCAGCAGGAUGAGACUUUCAUCUGGCAGAAAACUGUGGAUGUUCAUUGCUAUAAAACUCGCAAGCAUGGUGCUAUACCAAUUUGUAAUGAUGGCCACGAUUCUUCAUCUUAUUAUCAACCCCUUGUGUCAUGUAUAAGUGGGGCCACCAGCAACCGCUGGAUUCCCAUCCAGAACAGGUCCUCUGGUCCCCAUUUGAGCUCAGCAGAGCUUGAAAUUCAUGGAGUUCAGCCGGAAGAUUACUUUGAAGACUCUCAGGUUUGGAGAUCAGCUCUGAGAAACUACUGGUCUUUACUUUCACCUAUAAUUUUCUCCGACCAUCCUAAGAGACCAGGUGAUGAAGAUCCAACACCUCCAUUUAACAUGGUACGCAACGUCAUGGACAUGAAUGCUCGAUAUGGAGGUCUAAAUGCUGCAAUGCUGGAGGAAAAUAAAUUAGUUUGGGUGAUGAAUGUAGUGCCUGUCAGGGCUCCUAAUACACUUCCUCUCAUACUUGAUCGUGGUUUUGCUGGUGUCUUGCAUGACUGGUGUGAGCCAUUCCCCACAUACCCCCGAACAUAUGACUUGCUUCAUGCUAAUGGGCUUCUCGCACAUCUCAGUCCAGAAAGAUGCAGCAUGAUGGAUUUAUUUUUAGAGAUGGAUCGAAUUCUACGCCCUGAGGGAUGGGUUAUCUUUGCUGAUAAAUUAGGAGCUAUUGAGAUGGCACAGGCACUUGCUAUGCAGAUACACUGGGAAGCUAGGGUGAUUGACCUAGAUAAUGGCAGUGACCAGCGGCUACUUGUUUGCCAAAAACCAUUUGUGAAAAAAUGAGUGAUCCUGCAACAGAAGUCUCAUGACCAUGGAAGUGAACAUGUUUUUGCUCCGAUCACGAAAUUUUUUUGACAGCUUCACAGCGUGAUAAAUGCCUGGGCUUGAGUUCAAUGGCUAAAACAGACGUUGGGGAAGCGUGGGCUGUAGAUUAGAAGAAGGCUUGAUUCAGAAGUGGGCUGCGAAGCAUUCCAAGUUUUUUGUCAAAGCAUUUGUAAGAUGGGAAGUGAAAAAGAAGCCAGAGAAAUCUCAAAAUCAUGAUUGACUUGAAUUCUAAUAUCAGAUACUCAAAUUAAUUGCACGCUGUGAGGUUUAGCACUCACAUGGGAGUAGUUUUGUAAUGGCAGCUGUGUGGCAUUGGUGAUGUAUUGGGGAAGCGCUGAGCAGGUAUCAAGAAAAGAGUAUCUGUAUGCGUGGUUGGUAAUGGAAGAUGAUGCUCCGACCUGUAUGCUUGGUAAUGGAAGAUGAUGCUCCGACUGCAACAAUGCGAGUCCAGUUAAAAAGGAGGGGGAGAAGAUCAUAGAGAACUCCUUUCGGAACUAGCAAAUCAAAGACUACUUGUACAGGAUCAUAGAAAUGUGAAUUUUCUUGGAUUGUUAACAUACAUUGAAAAA